GAGUUGGUAUGAAUUAUAUUAUAAAAAUUAUGGAUGAUAUUUUUAAUUUGAUUAUGUAUAUGUAAAAAUUUUGAAAUACAUAAAAAAGUCAAAUGGUUUUCGAUUUCAGUAUUGUGCUUGAAUACAAGAUGCCUAGAAAGAAGGUUUUGCAUGUUUGGUUGACCUUUAAAAAGUAGCACAUUAUAAAGUGGUUUAUGUUUGGUUGAACAUCUAUUUUUCUAAAAAAGUCAUAUAAAAUAUAUGUUAUACUCUUAAUAAAAGAAAAUAUCUUACCACAUUUUAUUUAAAAGCUUUGGAUAAUUUUUUUAAAAAAUUAUCUCAAUUUCUAGUCUGCUGGUAGGAAAUAGAUUUUUUCAUAUUUCAUAAGAGUUUUUAUUUUUUCUAUGUUUCCAUUGAUUUUUUUUUUCUUUCCACAAACCAACGCGUUUCAAGUAUAACCACUUCCAACCACGACGGACACUAAGUAAGAUUAGAGGUGGCAAAAUAUGACCCGACCUGCCAACCCGAAACAGGUUCGGAUCAUAAACAGGUUGACCCAUUUAACCUGUUUAUUAAUUGGGUCGGAUACAGAUUUUAAAUGUCUGAUUCGUUUAACCUGUUUAACCCGUUUAAUAUAUGGAUUGGAUUCGAUCAGACAAGGCAGCCCAAGCCUUGGCCCAAAGGAAAGCAAUAACUACUUAUCUCCACAGCCCACAGGUUGCUUAGCCCAUAGUCCAGCAUGAUUUAAUAAGAUGGGACGGGUCACGGGGUCAGGGAUAGGGAGUCAGGCCGUCA
rnacentral:lncRNA from 1 species